AUGGAAAGAGUAUAAAAAAACGCGUGACCUGGAAGAGGAAUUAGGGUUCUGUAACCUUUCACAUUCACGCAGGAAGCCCCUUUCUCCUCAUUGAACGGCGCCGUUCUUCAAGAUCGCUCUGGAAAACGCAAGGCGCAUCUCUCCGUCUUUGUUCUGCGUGAAUCGCCGUCGUUACCUUCCAUACAGCCACCGCCGUUCAUUAUCGCCUCACCACCACAACAACCGCAACAAUCUGAAGCCGACCAUGCGUUACCACCGACCGCUCAGCCUUCUUCACUUUACCGCUGCCGAAGUUUAUAGAUCUCAGGUGUUAGCUUUUUGUACUUUGCAUCUUAUUGAUUGUUGCUUUGUGUUGUAGAUUAUAACUGGAUGAAUAGGAAAUAGAGAGAAAUUUCUCUUGUUUUGCUGAUUGAAAAGAAUGCAUUUUUUGGGAAUAAAAUGUUUUUUGUUAUGCUUUUAUGUGAAGACAAGGAAAAUGACUCUAGUAUGUGUGGUUUGACACAGAUUCAAGGUUUCAAAUAAAGUAUGUGUGGUUUGACACAGAUUCAAGCUUCAAAUAAAGUAUGUGCGGCUGAAAACGAAUUCAACUAUUUAGGUUUCGAUGUAUUCUGUAAUGUAAAGAUGGAUAAUGUUAGAUAGGUCAAGAAUAACCAGCAUACUCAUAGAGAUGCAUUUAACGAUUUUGUUCUUGACAAGAGCAUUGGCGGAGCCUAUGGAGAUGAGGAAUAUAAUUCCAGUGGUUCAGAUGUUGGAAGAACUGGAAGUAGGCUCAUUGGCGGCGUUGCAGAGACCUUAUCCGAGCAAAGAAAUGGUUUCAGCCUGAAACAUGAUUUUUUUUAAUCACGGAGCACCAAAACAUAAGGAACACUGCCAUGUCAAGGAACUGGAAAAUUGAGAGGAAGAGGAGUUUGUGUGGGAUGAGAUGAACCCUGGUUUGCCUGAACAUGUACCCUUGUCUUCAUAAUCUAACUUCUUUGUGCUUUGAAAUUGAUAAGGUUUUGUUCCUGUUUUGCUGAAGCGGUAAUAUUGUUUCUUUCUCCCUUUAUAAUAACUGCUAUGUCUUCUUAGUUCUGUCAAUAUUCCUUCUAGAACCAUCGAUCGAAUUCUGUUAGAAAUUCGGACAACCCAAACCCAACCCAAAUAGAAAUCGAUUGAGUUUGAUGCAAACUGGAAAAAAAUGGUGAACUACAUGCUGAUGAUCAGUGCUGAACUCGAGAAUUUGACCAUUAUAUUGAAUUCUUCAAGGUAUUACAAUAUCUUUUUUAUUUUCUUCAACAUGCUUUUUUCUUCCUCUCUAUUUUAAUAUUAAUUUCUUUAUCUUUGUGAUGAUGACGAUGAUAGUUGAAAUGUGGAAGAUGUGGUGAAUUGAUCCAAAAAGAAACUUGUGUGUCUUUGAAUGAUACUGUUCCUCUUCCAGGUUACUACAAUAUAUGAGUAAAUAUUCACUAAAUGUCCUGUUAUAGAGUCUUUGUUAUGUCUGCCUUUAUUCAAAUGUGUAGGUCCUUUCAACAAAUUUUUAUGCUCUUGAAAUUAGUGUAUGUUAAGUUGGUGUUGGUACAAUUUUUAGUUUUGUAAUGGAGUUAUCAAGUCUUACUAUUUUAUGCUCUCUUUUACUGUUUGGUUAGUUCAUAUAUUGUUAAACUCGUUUUAUGCUUAAUAGCUUUUUUGUAGGUUAGCAACUUAGCAUGCUUCUACUCGAUUCUUUUAGAAUUAGUGAUAAUCUUUCUAUAAAAUAACAUUCAAUUCUUUUGGUUGAAUGCAUGCACUUUUUGCUUCGCUGCUCCCUUUUAAAAGAGGUUUCACACUUAUAUGUUAUUAUAUAUUUGACCAGCCUGACUUUUCUCUAUGGAUGUAGGUCAAGUACAAAUGAAGAGGAAAUAUUUGAAGUGCAGGAUACGAUCACUUUUCCCCCUUCAACAUGAAGAGUCAGUCCUAUGUAAGAGACUACUAAGUUAGAUGGCUGAGAUUAGUAUUUAGAAUAAAUUUUAGGGAAUCCGGCUUUAGAAUAAAUUUUAAAGAACCCGACUUUAAUUAGCAGUAGAAAAUGAGGUGAUAUUUUCUAUCACAGUUUUAUAUUUAUAUGUAUUUUAGAAUCGACUCAAGUACAUUGAAUAUUUAUUUAA